CCAUAGUGACCGCUCACAGGGGAGCUGUGUGGCUGGUUUCCUUAUACUCUGUGACUCUCUGAAGGACUCUACAGGCUUCACGGCUAGACGCCAUGAAGGAGAUUGACCUUCAUAACGCAAGGACCACUGCUCUGGCAGUUUCGACACGCAGGGGAAGGUGGCUACACCAAUGGACUGCGGAUACAGAAUCCGAGUAAGGUAUGACAGGUCCGCCCUUCACAGCUUUCCUACUGCAAGCACAGUUACUUGCCAGCAAACAAUUAAUGAGGAGUUUGCCAGUAAAUCUCGAGACAUUAAUCUCCUGGCCAGGAACCAACAGUUUGGUCUAGAAAAGGAGACUCUUGUUUACUUAAUGGUACAGUCUGUGCCUGUACCUUAUAUUGUAGUUUGGUAGCAGUAUCUAUAACUGCUGGAAGGAAAUUACAUCUGAUAACAGUUGUUUAUGCAGAACAUCGUGUUUACAGCU